CGCCGGGCGGGGGAGCCUGGCCCGGCCUGGAGGGGCUCUUUGGCCCCGCCGCCUCGCCGGCCCGGGGGAAGCAUGCUGCCCGGGACUAGGCCCCGGCUUCUGGCAUGGCUGCCUUGAGGGGUGCCCCCUCCAUGCCUGCAGAACGUCUAGCCCUGAGGAUGAGAGAGAAGAGGACUAGGGAAGACGUGUUCUGUGAGAUUCUGAAAGCCAGUGCUGCAUCGAGCUGUAAACUAAGGACUUGGAGGGCCAGUAUGAUUGACAGUAUGGACAAAGACAGGACAGGAAAAAGUCCAGAGCCCCAGGAGGACAAGGAGAGGGAGAUGCACCAGGACAUAAUUGGGCUUCUCAGGCAGCUAUCCCAACUGCUGCAGAUCCAAAAAUCCUGGACUCUCCACCUUUUGCUAUCCUUGGAGUACUCCAUGGUUGCUGCUCCCUACACCACUCACUGUAACAUGGGAUCAUGGGGUGCAUUCUUAUCCCUACCACUCCACUCCAGAGGACAUCGAAGAAAGCCACAGCUUCACAUACACUGACCUGUGAGAGCCACAACUGGUGCAUGUGUAGCCACAAUGGACUACCUUUGUGUACUCAUAUGAACACAAUUUUAAAUUUUCACUCUGUUCAGUUAUAUUAAAACCUUGUAUAACA